ensembl:lncRNA
GGACCCCAUAAGACCCCAUAAAACCCCAUGGGGACCCCAUAAAGACCCCAUAGGGACCCCAUAAGGACCCCAUAGAGCCCCAUAAGACCUCAUAGAGCCCCAUAGGACCCCAUUGGACCCCAUAUAACCCCAUAAGGACCCCAUAGGACCCCAUAAAGACCACUUUAAGCCCCCAUAGAUCCUCAUAAGGACCCCAUAGAGCCCCAUAGGGCCCCAUAAGGACCCCAUAAGGACCCCAUAGAGCCCCAUAGGACCCCUUUAAGCCCCCAUAGGACCCCAUAAAGCCCCCAUAAGACCCCAUAGGACCUCAUAAAGACCACAUAGAGCCCCACAGAGCCUCGCAAGGACCCCAUAGGGACCCCAUAGAACCCCAUGGGGACCCCAUAAGAACCCCAUAAGGACCCCAUAGAACCCCAUAAGACCUCAUAGAGCCCCAUAGGACCCCAUUGGACCCCAUAAAACCCCAUAAGGACCCCAUAGGAGCCCAUAAGACCCCAUAGGACCCCAUAGGACCCCAUAAAGCCCCCAUAGAGUCCCAUAGGACCCCAUAGAACCCCUUUAAGCCCCCAUAGGACCCCAUAAAGCCCCCAUAGAUCCCCAUAAGGACCCCAUAAGGACCCUAUAGGACCCCUUUAAACCCCCAUAGGACCCCAUAAAGACCUCAUAGAGUCCCAUAGGACUCAUUUAAGCCCCCAAAGGACCCCAUAAGGACCCCAUAGAACCCCAUAAGACCCUUUUAAGCCCCCAUAAGGACCCCAUAGAGCCCCAUAGGACCCUAUAAAGACCCCAUAGGGCCCCAUAAGGACCCCAUAGGACCCCAUAAAGACCCCAUAAAGACCACUUGAAGCCCCCAUAGAACCCCAUAGGACCCCAUAGAGCCUCAUAAGGACCCCAUAGGACCCCAUAAGACCCCAUAAGGACCCCAUAAGACCCCAUAAGGACCCCAUAGGACCCCAUAAGACCCCAUAGAACUCCAUGAGACCCUUUUAAUCCCACAUAAGGACCCCAUAGAGCCUCAUAAGGACCCCAUAGGACCCCAUAGGGCCCCAUAAGACCCCAUAGGACCCCAUAAAGACCCCAUACAACCCCUUCAAGCCCCCAUACAACCCCAUAAAGCCCCCAUAAGACCCCAUAGGACCCCAUAAAGACCCCAUAGAGCCCCACAGAGCCUCAUAAGGACCCCAUAGGACCCCAUAGAUCCCCUUUAAGCCCCCAUAGGACCCCAUAAAGACCCCAUAGGACCCCAUAAGACCCCAUAGGACCCCAUAGAACCCCAUAAAGACUCCAUAAGACCCCAUAGGACCCCAUAGAGCCCCAUAGGACCCCAUAGAACCCCUUUAAGCCCCCAUAGG